rnacentral:rRNA from 1 species
AUUGAACGCUGGCGGCAUGCCUUACACAUGCAAGUCGAACGGCAGCACGGGAGCUUGCUCCUGGUGGCGAGUGGCGAACGGGUGAGUAAUACAUCGGAACGUACCCUGAAGUGGGGGAUAACGUAGCGAAAGUUAACGCUAAUACCGCAUAUUCUGUGAGCAGGAAAGAGGGGGAUCGCAAGACCUCUUGCUUUAGGAGCGGCCGAUGUCGGAUUAGCUAGUUGGUGAGGUAAAGGCUCACCAAGGCGACGAUCCGUAGCGGGUCUGAGAGGAUGAUCCGCCACACUGGGACUGAGGCACGGCCCAGACUCCUGCGGGAGGCAGCAGUGGGGAAUUUUGGACAAUGGGCGCAAGCCUGAUCCAGCCAUGCCGCGUGAGUGAAGAAGGCCUCGGUGUAAG